rnacentral:rRNA from 1 species
CCUGAGAGGGUGACCGGCCACACUGGGACUGAGACACGGCCCAGACUCCUACGGGAGGCAGCAGUGGGGAAUAUUGCACAAUGGGCGCAAGCCUGAUGCAGCAACGCCGCGUGAGGGAUGACGGCCUUCGGGUUGUAAACCUCUUUUAGCAGGGAAGAAGCGAAAGUGACGGUACCUGCAGAAAAAGCGCCGGCUAACUACGUGCCAGCAGCCGCGGUAAUACGUAGGGCGCAAGCGUUAUCCGGAAUUAUUGGGCGUAAAGAGCUCGUAGGCGGUUUGUCGCGUCUGCUGUGAAAUCCGGAGGCUCAACCUCCGGCCUGCAGUGGGUACGGGCAGACUAGAGUGCGGUAGGGGAGAUUGGAAUUCCUGGUGUAGCGGUGGAAUGCGCAGAUAUCAGGAGGAACACCGAUGGCGAAGGCAGAUCUCUGGGCCGUAACUGACGCUGAGGAGCGAAAGGGUGGGGAGCAAACAGGCUUAGAUACCCUGGUAGUCCACCCCGUAAACGUUGGGAAGCUAGUUGUGGGGUCCAUUCCACGGAUUCCGUGACGCAGCUAACGC